rnacentral:lncRNA from 1 species
AUUAGCCAAUCCAAGAAAACAAUUUAUCGGCUGCCGAGAAUGAUGCAACCAAUGCAAUUUCCUCCGGCUGAGGCGUGGGCGAAGACUACGGUUGAUUGGUAGAGCGUGCUCCUAUCGCAGAGGCUGUUAUUCCUUGGGUCUCCCGGCUGAGGGGAGGAGCCGAGCGAGCGGCGGGUGUCCCUGAGAGGCCACCUUUCGACCUUCGAGGGCCAGGAGGAUACGGGGAGGUGGCCGGAGGGAGUUCCCGAACACAGGUCUUCCUGUUCCCGCCGAGCAGGUGUUGGCGGUGCCAGGCCCGGCCUGGCGGGCCCGGGCUGGCAGCCAAAUACCCAGCGUCUGUGCUCGGGACGGGAGUGUUCGUCCAGGACGUGCAGCUCCGGAGCCUGCGCGGGCGACCUUGACCACCUUUGUCGGCUGUUUCCCCCUGAGGGAAGUAUACCUGUCCUGCCAGCCUUGGUCUCUGGCAGGGAAGGUCCUUCCAACAGAGAGGGGUGCGCACGAAUUCCUUUUUGCCGCUCUUCUAUUAAUAGUUUGAGAUUUUCCUCCCCGAUUCCUUGCAGAGAGGGCCUGGUCCUCAAGGACCUCGGGAUCUGGGCGCGACGUCCCUUCCCAGCUUCCUCCCGCGCGCACCGGACCAGAUCUUGCUGUCGUCAGCUGGCUGGUACCCAAAGUUCCUCUUCGUCAGGCUGUUCCUUCCCCGUUAGAGUCCUUCCUCCCCAGGAGCCCUCUCCAUCUGCUGACCUUCAAGACCCAGAGCGAAUGCCACUUCAUCCAUGAAGCCUUCCCUUAACCCUUAUCUGGCCAAAAUGUCUCUUUCCUGUGCUUCUGUACUUUCACAAUUUUAGAAAAUGCCUUUGUGGUUAAAAACCUAUCUCCGGGACCGGACUAUCUAGGUUUAGAUUCUGGCUGCCGCUUACGAAUUUGGGCAGGUUUAGUCAAGUUAUUUUAACCUCUCUGUGGAAGUUCCUGCUCUGUGGAAAUAAUAGUAUUUUCCUCAGAGUUGGUGUGGGGAGUUUGUGAGUUAAUACAUUUACGAAGUGGUUAGUUGCAUGUAAGAAGGACUCUCUAAAUGUCAGCUAUUAUUAACAUUGCAUAUCUGCCACACCCUUCAUAGAUGGUAAACUGCUUUUUUUUUUUUUUUUACUUUUAUUUUAGGUUCGGGAUACAUGCACAGGUUUGUUUUAUAGAUAAAUUGCUUGUCAUGUGGGUUUGUUGUACAAAUUAUUUUGUCACCCAGAUAGUAAGCAUAGUACUUGACAGGUAUUUUUUCUGAUCCUCUCCCUCCUCCCACCCUCUAGCCUCAAGUAGGUCCCAGUGUCUGUUGUUCUCUUCUUUGUGUCCAUGUGUUCUCAAUGUUUAGCUCCCACUUACAAGUCAGAACAUGCAGUAUUUGGUUUUCUCUUCCGCAUUAGUUCACUUAGGAUAAAGGCCUCCAGCUCCAUCCAUGUUGCUACAAAGGACAUGAUCUCUUUCUUUUUUAUGGCUGCAUAGUAGUCCAUGGUGUAUAUGUACCGUAUUUUCUUCAGUCUACUGGUGAUGGGCAUUUAGGUUGAUGCCAUGUCUUUACGAUUGUGAAUAGUGCUGCAGUGAACAUACAUGUACAUAUAUCUUUAUGGUAGAAUGAUUUAUAUUCUUUUGGGUAUAGACCCAAUACUGGGAUUGUUGGGUCGAAUGGUAAUUCUGUUUUAAGUUCUUUGAGAAAUCGCCACACUGCUUUCCGCGGUUACUGAACUAAUUUACAUUCCCACCAGCAUUGUAUAAGCAUUCCCUUUUCUCCACAACCUCACCAGAAACCAGCAUCUGUUAUUUCUUGACUUUUAUUAAUAGCCAUUCUGACUGGUGUGAGAUGAUAUCUCAUUGUAGUUUUGAUUUGGGUUUCUCUAGUGAUUAGUGAUGUUGAGUAUUUUAUAUGCUUGUUGGCCAUGUAGCUUCUUUUGGCUAGGGACCUGUGAGUCUCCCUAGGUUUCUUGCACUUACUAAGCCUUCAACAAAUGGUAGAAGAGUCAAUUCUCUUGGUGUUUCAGAAGAAAACAAUAUCACAGCCCCUCUCCACUGGAUAAUACUAUAAAUCUUAAAAUGAAUUUUCAUUCAGAGUAAUAAACACAAGCCAAAGAACUUUGUAUAACAUCCGUCAACUUUUUGUGUUAUCUAUUUCUUUUCCAAAACAUUGCCUCUGGUUUUAAAGGUAACUGCCCACAGUGUUUCACUAAUAACAUUUUAAGCAUUACAAGUUCAACACUGAAGGUCAAAUGACAACGAACUUUCAGUGCUUCCAAAAGCAGGGGCAGAGGGCAACUGCUGAGGGGGGCAUUGUAUAGCCUAACCUUCCCAGAAUUUGAUUUAAAAGUAUGAUCUUCACAGCGUUGGCCAGCAAUAUCAUGGUCACUCCCUACGUCAUUCCCUGGGAGAAAAACAACCCUAGGUUACCUAAACAAUGUUGGCGAAGACCAAAUAUUUAUUAACAUCCUAAGCCGCCCCAUAAUCAAGCCAAUGCUGAUAGGGACAAAGAAGGUGCCAUGUGCAGUUUUUCUCCAUGUCCCCACAAUAUCUGCUCUGAAUUUUAAAAGGCAAUUACUGGGGGAGAAGGAAGCCUAUAUAUUAUGUAGGAUCCAAGUCUCAAACUGCUUUCCUAGGGAGUGUGAGGUUCUUGGAGAUUAAGUGCAGUACCUUUCUGUCUUGAGCCUUGUAGGCUGCCCCUCUAAUUUAAUGCCAGUCUUGAAAUAAACAGAAUGCUUUCCAAGUCAUCGCUAAUUUUAACACUUUAAAUUUAGAAUUGCUUAGAAUUGACUCAACACUGCCUCCUUGCUGAAUGGAUAAUUCAAGCAAACAACUCAAGAGCUGGAUGCUGCCCAGACAGGUAGGCAGCCAGAUAAAGUGAGUGUCCAGGGAAAGAGCAGUAAGGGUCAGAAGAGAAAGAGCCUGGUGUUCUCACUGCCUCCUGCCUUCCUUAUGACUGUCUGUUCAGAAGUCCUCCUAGCAUCUUUCUUCUGCCUUCCCCUGCUCCUGUCCCUGAAACCUUUUCUUCAAAAGAAGUGGAAAAGAGGAACUGGGAACCCAUAUAGCAACAGCAUCACCUGGAAUGAAUUCCUUUAGAACAUACUGUCUUGGAAAUCUGAAGCCUGCAGGGCUGGACAGGCAAGAAGAGCAGUGAGCACUGCAUGAACCUGUAAGUAAAUCUGCAUGUGGAUGGUGUUUUGGGUUUUUUUCAGACAGAGCCUUACUCUGUUGCAUAGGCUGGAGUGCAGUGGCACGAUCUUGGCUCACUGCAACCUCUGCCUCCUGGGCUCAGGUGAUUGUCCCACCUCAACCUCUCAAGUAGCUGGGACCACAGGUGUGCACCAACAUGCGCAGCUAAUUUUUGUAGAGAUGGGGUUUCGCCGUGUUGGCCAAGCUGGUCUCGAACUCCUGGGCCAAGCAAUCGGCCUCCCAAAGUGUUGAGAUUACAGGCGUGAGCUACUGCACCAGGCCACACAUGCUUAUUUUACUCAGUCUUGCCCCUGAAUACCCGAAGGUCUAAACUUAGGAAAAAGUCAGGGGAGGGAUGAGUUUGUCAUUCUUUGGAGUCGUUAUAUUUGGGUGAGUGCUGGCACUAUGGGUAGGAUAUUAUUUAGAAGCUGAGUUGUGUGCUGAGCAAAUGUUUCUUUAAAAACCAAAGCCGUAUGAGAUCUGUUAUAGAGGCACAGUGUGGCUAAAUAGUGUGCGAUAAGAUAAGCAUAGGGCUCCUGAGGUGUUGCUGUUCUCCCACUGUAAUGAGUUUACUCUUCUUCCUAAGGAAAGUGAUCCUUUAUCACCUCUCCUCUCAAAUUCACUGGCUUGUUUCGUGAGUGUGCCUUCAUGGAAUCAUGUCUCCUUCUCUUCCCUCAGUUCUCUCCUUCCCUCCCUUACGUAUGACUCCUCCCAUAAUCCGCACACAUGGAUUGAACCAAGUGAGGGUAUUUUUCUGUUUCCUACCUCAUAGAAGGGCAUAGAGUGGACACGGUCUAAGGUUAGUUCCUGAACUGAGUACCCACAUAUGCAGAACUUUAUUUAAAGCUGCUGAAAUCUUUGUAUAACAGAUAGAUCAAUAGGACUGAAAACUACUGAUGGUUUUACUUACUUGUUGAACGUGACUAAGUUCCAUGGCACCAUUUAGAAAUUGUGUUGUAUAGUUUUCGUAUGUUGCUUAAGAAACAGUUUAGCAUAAUGGUUAAAAGCAUGGCCUCUGGAACUAGAUUGCCUCUGUAUGCCUCAGUUUCCUCAUCUGGGAAUAAUAAUAGUUCUACCUCAUGGGAUUGCUAUGAGGAUUAAAUGAUUUAAUUUAAUUAAAUGAUUUCAUACAAAACUGAAUUGUACUUGACACUUAGUACUCAGGUAUUAACUGGGACCGUUAUUAUCAUCACAGAUGUUGUUUACAAGCACUUGCCUUUGAGAUUUGUUUAGCUUUUUUAUUAAAUUACUAGCGGUAUACUAGAACAGUACGUAGGCUGGGGCCUGGAGUCAAAUUCUAGCUUUGCCUCUUAUAGUUUUGAAACUUUGAGUAAAUUACUUGAUGUGUCUGAGUUUUAAUAUUCUUAUAUGUAAUUUACUUUUAAAAAGAAUUUUGCUUAGUGUUGAUAUACACACAUUUAACACAGUUAUAGAAAUUAUUGUUUUUACUAUUGUCAUAUGAGGAAAUUCGUCCCUGGGUUGCUGUAGGGUGCUAAUGGUUAGGCAAACUCUCUUUGAAGUCUGCCUGAUCUGGCCCCUUGCAGGCAUGUACUCCGAAAUAUUUUUCAAAUGGAAAAGAAAACAGAGAACACAAUUUUCAAAAUAUCUAGAGCCCUCCAAGAAGUCUUUGUAGAGAUCUAUAAAAUCUCAAGGCAAUUUAAAGGUAAUAAGACAACUUUAUUAAUAAUUAAUUAAAAUGUAAAUGUUAAUGAUAGCCCUUUGUAUAGCUAUAUUAUCUUUUUCUGAAGAAUAGAAAAAUGUUUUAGAAACACUAUUCUCUCCACAUCCUGGGGCAGCAGCCUUCUCCAAAGAAACAGAAAGAAGGAAAUGGAUUGCCUUAGCAAAAAAACAAAUGAAGACACUCCAAAUAACAGAAGAAUGGGAAGGCUACAGACCUUGAAGUCAGAAGAAAAUUUCCUCUCCUUGCCCCGUUUCUCCUUAAAUGGAUCACCAGUACAGUCUCUUACUUCUAGAGCCAUGUUAAGCUUUCUUCCCCAAAGUUGUAAUGUCCUUCUUUUGGUUGUGUCGUGUCCUAAAAUCCUACUCUUUGGUACAAGAUGAAGGUAUAUGAAGAGAUAAUGAAGGAAACAAAUUCAAUGUGUUUGCCAAGAACACAGUCUUUUAAAUAACUCUUAAAGGGUUCGUUUAAAACAGUGUAAUAAAUUGUGGUAAUCUAGUACACAAAGCUAGUAGGAACCUCGUUUAUUAAUAAUAUUUCAACAUUGAGCAGUAGAGGGCAGCACUAUCCUUCUUUUGCAAAAUGUUGAGCACUCUUGAGAAGGAAAAUAAAGGCAAAGCUCCUGACCCCUGUGUCUGUGUUUACUUUUACCAUUAAAAAAAAACAAAAAAUUGGAGUAUUUUUAUUAUGGUUUAGGUGAUUAUGUAUAAAGAAUGUCAGAGCCUGCAUUACCUGGAAGUGGUGCACCAGGUAAUGCAAAAAACACGGAAGGUUUGAGGUCCCCCACUCAGGAUAUGGGUUCUGUCUAGUAAAGAUAAACAGUAGCUUGACCCUGGGUAAUCAGAUAGGGUUAUUGUAUGAACAGACCUAAUGCUCCUGCACGUUCUGGAUAGAAGUCAAUCUACUGAAAUAGCAGGAUGUAGUUUUAAAAAAUGUGUGUAACUCAUAUAGUCUUAGCCCUGAUAAGUGCUUCUAAAUUCUUAUUCACUGCCUUUAUUCUGCUGUGUUAGUGUUGCUCUCUGUCAUACGUGGGUCAGGUCAGAACUAGCUCAAAUACAGUAUGUGUAUUAUGACUUUAAGGAGUGGUGUCAGACAAGAUGGGUAAAGAAUGUCUUUCAUGGGACUGCAGUUGGCUAAAUGGCUGUGUAUAAGUAGUGAAAUUGAAGCCUUGUAUGCUCGUCGUCAUUCUAUCACAGUAUGAUUUGAGUUUCCCUAACCGGUAAACAGCAAGAAAAAAUGAUCUGUUAUUUUUUACUAAAGUUACUUGAUGCUCUUUAGCAAGCUGACAGAAUAAUUCUAAUUUUAGCAAAUACAAAACCAUGGUAAUCCUAGCACAUUUGGAUUCUGUUUAACCCUGAAAACUCUUUUGGCAGCAAAUCUUCAAUGCCAAUUUAGAUAAAUCCCACUAGGAAUAAGCACUGAAAGACGUUGAGUCUAGUUCCCAGCUCUGCCAUGUGAAGUUGGGCAAAUUACAGUCUCUGAGCUUUUAUUUCAUCUGUUAAAUGGAGAUAAUACCUCCUAGAUUUAUUAAAAGGGUCAAUUUAGAAAAUAUGUAUUAAAAUGGUUUGAAAGCCAUUUAAGUACCUAAUGAAUAUUUCUAUCACUGUAGCCCAAAAAGAUUCCUGCCUAGAAGACUUUAUGUCUCUUCUCCUCAUUUGGUAUCAUUCUAUUGCCUGAGAUUGUUAAUUAACUUUUAUGUAUACUCAAUAUUUUCUCCCAACUUGGUUGCUAGUUCCUUGAGAACUGAAACCAUCAAUUGCACUUCUUGGUAUCCUCCACAAUAAGGUAUCUAGGUACUCAAAUAUUUGUUGGUUGAUUAAAAACAUAAACCACAAGACAUAAUUAACUCUUUUUAAAAUUGUGGUAAAAAAACAUGUAUUUACCAUCUUAAUCAUUUUUAAGUAUACUGUAUAUUAGUGUUUACUAUAUGCACAUUGUUGUGCAACACAUCUCUAGGACUUUUUCAUCCAGAAUUCUUUUUUUUUGAGACAGAGUCUUGCUGUGUCGCCCAAGCUGGAGUUCAGUGGCACCAUCCUGGCUCACUGCAACUGCUGCCUCCCAGGUUCAAGUGAUUCUCCUGCCUCAGCCUCCCGAGUAGCUGGGAUUACAUGUGCCUGCCACCACGCCUGGCAAGUUUUUGUAUUUUUAGUAGAAAUGGUGUUUUACCAUGUUGGCCAAGACUGGCCUAGAACUCCAGACCUCAAGUGAUCCACCCGCCUCAGCAGCCCAAAGUGGUGGGAUUACAGGCAUGAGCAACUGUGCCUGGCCUAGCCAUUUUCUAUAAACCUGAAAAUAGAUGCCAGAAAAGAAGGUGCCGCUAUAAAAUGCUUUCUUGAGUGAUUUAUGUCUAACAUACAAUUAAACAUUUAUGAGAAGGAAAUUAUCAGGUUAAAAUAUAAACUCACUUGCCAAUUAUUUGAUUUUCAGGAUAUCUGACUUUUGUUAAUUACUGAAAAUAAAGUAUUAUUUCUAAUCACUAUUGGUAUCACAAUAGCAUUUUUAUUUGGCCGGUAUGUGUGAGGCCUGGAGUAUGACGGGAAACUGUCCUAGAAAAGGCCCUUGCAUUGGCUGUAGAGAGUUCUGGAACUCUCAAGAUGGCAAGAUUGUAUUUAACUCUUUUAAAAACAAUGCACCUUUUCAAGCACAGAUUUUCAUCUGAUGUUGUGACCGUCAAUUAUGUCAGAUUUGUUUGAUAUAUUAAAAAAUUGGUUUCUCCUUUGCACAAAAUAAAUUAUAGAUGGAUAUAAGAUUUAAAUAUUUUAAACAAUAUAGGGAAAAUAAUAUAUUUGAAACAUAGUAUUAGGGUAGAAUAGACUUUCCUAAUCAUGGCACAAUCUCAGAAGCUAUAAAGAAAAUAAUUGACUUUGCAUGGCUAUAGACACCAUAAAUAAAUAUGUGAUAACAUGGAAGAAUAUUUGCAACAUGCUUAUUAGUCACAUCUGUUAUAUAGUCAGAGCUUCAUUGUAUUGGUGGAAAAAUUAGGAUAUAAAGAAAUUCAGAAAAGAAUAAAUACAAAUAACCAGUAAACAUGUCCAAAAUCAUCCUCAUUAUAAAAUUGAAACCACGCUGAUUUAUCAAUGUUUACCCAUUAGACUGACAAACAUUUUAAAUGUUCAAAAAAUAGUGUUGAGGGAAAAGAGCAAUGACAUGCACUAUUGGGGAGACUGUCAAUGAAUAAAGCCUUUUCUUGUAUUUUGGUAAUAACAGUCAAAAUGCACAUAAUACCAUUUGACCAAGCAAUUUCUCCUCUAGGAAUCUAUCCUAAAGAAAUUUAUACAAGUUUUCAAAGAUAGGUAUGUAGGCAUACAGUUAUGCAUUGUAGCUUUGCUUUAACAGAAAAAGAGUAAACACAUGUAUUAUUUUUGUAGCCUAAAAAAAAAUCAAGUUUUCAUUGAAAAUAAAAAUGACAGGUUUGAAGCAGGACAGUGGCCAUGGAAGUCGAAUCCACUAAGGCGUGUGUAACAAGUCACCUGCUGAGUCAACAAAAAUAAAUAAAAAUUUUUUAAAAACAGGCUUGAGAGACACUUCACAGGAAUAGAAAAUUUAGAUAGUUUCUAACAAUGACAAUGAAGUAGGACAGGAAAAAGUAAUUCUCCAAAGCAAAGUAUGUAUGUGUGUAGUAACUUAAAACUUCA